rnacentral:rRNA from 1 species
UACGGAGGAUCCAAGCGUUAUCCGGAAUCAUUGGGUUUAAAGGGUCCGUAGGCGGUUUUGUAAGUCAGUGGUGAAAGCCCAUCGCUCAACGGUGGAACGGCCAUUGAUACUGCAAGACUUGAAUUAUUGGGAAGUAACUAGAAUAUGUAGUGUAGCGGUGAAAUGCUUAGAGAUUACAUGGAAUACCAAUUGCGAAGGCAGGUUACUACCAAUAUAUUGACGCUGAUGGACGAAGGCGUGGGGAGCGAACAGG